UGUCUCAUUAAGAAACACUUGCUAAUAUCCACUCACUCUACACUUUACCAAACGGACGGACCAAAUCCUGCUCUUUCAGUACCAAGCAUCUUCUUCUGCGUAGCGAAUUGUGAUCACCGGAAACAGAAGAAUGAAGGACCUGGGCUUUGUUGCAGUGAUGUUGGCGGUAGAGUUGAUGGACGUGAUUGCCAACACUAUAAGCAAAGCAGCCAUGAAGAAGGGCAUGAAUGACUUUGUGUUUGUCAUGUACUCCAAUGCCUUCGGAACAUGCUUUCUCUUUCUCAUAACUUUAAUCUUUUAUAGGAAAAGAACACUUCCUCCACUCUCCUAUAAAAUCAUUGGCCUGUUAUUUGUUGUUGGCUUCCUCAGUUGCAGUAACCAGAUGCUCAAGUUUUUUGGCAUAGAUUACAGCUCUCCUACUUUGUCCUCAGCAAUGUCUGAUUUGAUCCCGGCCUUUACCUUCAUACUCGCCAUCAUCUUCAGGAUGGAAAAAUUGGAUUGGAAAACUAAUAGCAGUUGGGCAAAGUCUAUUGGCACAUUGGUAACAAUCUCUGGGGCCUUGAUAAUGUCGGUGUACAAAGGGCAGGCAGUGAUAAAUAAUGAUCCCUCUCUUAAAUUGUUCCCUCGAAAACUUGCCUCGUCUAUGGAAUUUGACUGGGUAUUUGGGGCAGUGUUGCUUGCGGCUCAUAGCUUUUGUCUCUCAAUUAACUUUAUAGUUUUGACACGGAUAGUCAGAGAAUACCCUUCAGAGUUGGUGGUGAUGCUCAUUCGCACUGCAUUAGCCUCUAUACUAUCUGUUCCUGCUGCGAUGCUUUCAGUAAAGGAUCUUAAAGCAUUGAGACUGGAAUUUAAUAUGGAGUUGAUAGCCAUUGGACUUUCUGCAAUUUUCGUCUUAUCCUUUGGAAGUGUCAUCGCUACCUGGACCAUAGGAAAGAAAGGCCCUGUUUUUGUUGCAAUGUUUACUCCACUUACAAUACUCUUUGCAGUCAUCUUGGGAAUUACUUUUCUUGGGGACUCUCUCUAUAUUGGAAGGCAUAAUGGGCAGGAACAAGUGGCGUGAGCUGAAGCACCGCUACAAUGUCGCUGAGAUCGAGGUCCCCGAGCCUCAAGAGGAGGAGGUUUCGCCCCUGAAGGUCAACCAAAAAAGAAAGAGGGGCGAGAAAGAGGUCGGGGGGACCUCUGCUCCUCGUAGCACAGAGGAUGUGACCUCCAAGGCUGCUGAUGCCGACGCAGUCAACCUUACUGGGAGUCCUCCACCUGGGGAGGCUCCCCAAAUGGCUGUUGCGGAGACUGCUAAGCAAGUUGCUCCCACUGCCGAGGCAAGGAUAGCUGCCGAGGUGGGGGCCCAGGUCGCUAAGCAAGUCGCCUAGGCCGCCGUGGCAGGGGACGUCGUCGAGACUCAGGUGCCCCCGAGGCCGGAGGCACCAGGCAUGGAUCCUCCUAUUGCCGAGCAGGGGAUGCCUGUUUCUGCCUCUGUCGAGGCUCGCGGCAAAGGGCCGAACUUCGAGGUCCCCACAGCUACGCCUGCAGCUUCAGCGUCGCCGUCUGGUUCAUCGUAGGGGGCUUCCCAGAGCCAAUAUUUAGCUCACCGCUUCGGGAAGGGCCGCUCGCAGGUGCGAUUGGACCAUGUGAGUGCUUCAGCUGACAUGGACUCGCUGUGGAGCGCGGGAGUGACUACCGAGAAGUUCUUCCCCCAAGGUUCGCUGAGCUCGGACGACCAGGGGCUGAUAGACGAGGUCGGGCCCGUGGAAGGCCUUGACGCCGCCUAGGUCUUUCUAUAGAGGACUAUGGCGAUUGUGGACCACUGGAAGCAUAAGUGGUCCAAUCAGCAGGAGGACCUGGUUAGGCUGAGGAGCCGAGUCCAACCUUUGAGGGAGGAGAACAGGGCCCUAAAGGAGCAGAACAAGGUUUUGAGCGCCGCCCUUGGUGAAGCAAAAAUUCAGGGUGCCGAGCUUCGAGCUGCGAGGGGCGACCUUGCGAGGGUCCAGAAGUCUCUGGAGAUCGCCCUGCGCUCCAACGAGAGUUACGCCUCCCAGGUAAACGAGCUGCAGGGGGUCGCCGCAUCGUCUUGAGGUCGGAUACGCUUCUUGGAAGAUGAGGUGACGUCUUCCCGUGGUCGGGUUCGCUCCUUGGAGGAUGAAGUGACAUCCCUGAAGAGCGAGUUGGUGGCGGCGGUUGAGAAGUGCCUCUGUGACGAGGUCGUCCUCGGUGGCAAAGAGGAGGAGGUCACCUCUCUAAGAGUGGAGGUGGCGAAUCUGGAGGCGGAAAGGGCAGUGCUGGUGAAGAAGCUGGAGGAAACCGAGCAGUCUGUCUUGUUUGAGCAUAAGCGGGUUUUCUCAAGGCAGCUCGCCAGGCGAGGCUUCUUACCCCGGGGUUCGACUUCUCUGCCAUGCACGUGGAGAAGGUUGUUCGCUUCGGCAAGCUGGUAAAGGAGGAUGACGUCGAGGACAACUCCAGCGAGAAUGCCUCUGCGUAGGCUAAAUGUGUAAUAGCCUAGUUUAAUCUUCUCUAUUUUAUUUUUUUUUGUUGAAUUCAAGUGUGGAACUUUGAAAACAUCGCUGUGUAUAUAUGUA